AUAACGCUCGGAAACGGACGCUAAUACCGCAUACGUCCUACGGGAGAAAGCAGGGGACCUUCGGGCCUUGCGCUAUCAGAUGAGCCUAGGUCGGAUUAGCUAGUUGGUGAGGUAAUGGCUCACCAAGGCGACGAUCCGUAACUGGUCUGAGAGGAUGAUCAGUCACACUGGAACUGAGACACGGUCCAGACUCCUACGGGAGGCAGCAGUGGGGAAUAUUGGACAAUGGGCGAAAGCCUGAUCCAGCCAUGCCGCGUGUGUGAAGAAGGUCUUCGGAUUGUAAAGCACUUUAAGUUGGGAGGAAGGGCAGUUACCUAAUACGUAUCUGUUUUGACGUUACCGACAGAAUAAGCACCGGCUAACUCUGUGCCAGCAGCCGCGGUAAUACAGAGGGUGCAAGCGUUAAUCGGAAUUACUGGGCGUAAAGCGCGCGUAGGUGGUUUGUUAAGUUGGAUGUGAAAUCCCCGGGCUCAACCUGGGAACUGCAUUCAAAACUGACAAGCUAGAGUAUGGUAGAGGGUGGUGGAAUUUCCUGUGUAGCGGUGAAAUGCGUAGAUAUAGGAAGGAACACCAGUGGCGAAGGCGACCACCUGGACUGAUACUGACACUGAGGUGCGAAAGCGU
rnacentral:rRNA from 1 species